GGGUGUAGCUCAGUGGUAGAGCACUUGCCUAGCAAGCACAAAGCCCUGGGUUCAAUUCCCAGCAUAAGUCU
rnacentral:tRNA from 1 species